rnacentral:misc_RNA from 1 species
AACGCAAAUUGCGCUCCUGGGAUAGACCUAGGAGCACGCCCCUUUGAGUAUCAGUUCUAACACAACUCAAUUCCUCUCUUUGAAAGUUUACCUUUCCUCGAGCAGUGUAAUUGGAUAAUGAGUCGUCUCGGCACACUUUACAGCUGUUGAGUCACUUUAAAGAUAGAGAGUUUAGAUCUCCCUAGUUCCUCCUAUAGCAAUAUAGGAUAGUUACUUGCAUAUCGUGCAUCUAACAUCAACAACUAGUGACGUGGAUAAUAUCACCCUUGCGGUGGCCUUGAAACGUCAAUACUAAUUGUUUGUUUAGUUUGCCUUUGUAAGUCAGCGAAAGACUUAGGAUCGAGCUAGACGGAGAAGGGUGUCUUAUGUAAAUUAACUUUUAUAUAGGACCCAAAUCUUUUGAAUUUAGAUCUCAGAUGGAGCGGGAAUACCCCCUGAAUUUAA